AAUGUUGUUCCGAUUUUGGUUCUUGUGAACGUUGACAUCGAUUCGUUCCAAAUUUACACGCUCGGGGCGUAAUAGAACAAUAUAAUUAGGCUUUACUCUUUAUUCGAUUGAAAGAGAAAAAGUACUCGUUGCAAAGUUUUACUGUUAGGGCGGAACUAAGUAAUCUAAUGUUGCUUCGGUUUUGGUUCUUGAACGUUGACAUCGAUUCGUUCCAAAUUUACACUCCCUGGGCAUAAUAGAACAAUAUAAUUAGGUUUUACGCUUUGUUCGAUAGAAUGAGAAAAAGUACUCAUUGCAAAGUUAUACUGCUAGGGCGCGACUGGGUAGUCUAAGGUUGUUCCGGCUUUUGUUCUUUUGAACGUUGACAUCGAUUCGUUCCAAAUUUACACUCUCGCGGCAUAAUAGAACAAUAUAAUUAGGUUUUACGCUUUGUUAGAUAGAAUGAGAAAAGUACUCGUUGCAAAGUUAUACUGUUUGGGCGCAACUGAGUAUUCUAAUGUUGUUCCUGUUUUGGUUAUUGUGAACGUUGACAUCGAUUCGUUCCAAAUUUACACUCUCAAGGAAUAAUAGAACAAUAUAAUUAGGUUUUACGCUUUCUUCGAUAAAAUGAGAAAAAGUACUCGUUGCAAAGUUAUACUGUUAGGGUGCAACUGAGUAGUCUAGUUUUGUUCCGAUUUUGGUUUUUGUGAACGUUGACAAUGAUUCGUUCCAAAUUUACUCUCUCGGGGCAUAAUAGAACAAUAUAAUUAGGUUUUACUCUUUGUUUGAUAGAAUGAGAAAAAGUACUCGUUGCAAAGUUAUACUGUUAGGGCGCAACUGAGUAGUCUAAUGUUCUUCCGGUUUUUGUUCUUCUGAACAUUGACAUCGAUUCGUUCCAAAUUUACACUCUCGAGGCAUAAUAAAACGAUAUAAUUAGGUUUUACUUUUUGUUCGAUAGAAUGAGAAAAAGUACUCGUUGCAAAGUUAUACUGUUAGGGCGCAACUGAGUAGUCUAAUGUUGUUCUGGUUUUCGUUCUUGUGAACGUUGACAUCGAUUUGUUCAAAAUUUACACUCUCGGGGCAUAAUAGAGCUAUAUUAAUUAAGGUUUUAACCUAUUCUUCGAUAAAUUGUGAAAAAGGUGCUCGUAUGCAUAAAGUUUAUACUGUUAGGGUGCAACCGAGUAGAAUAGUUUGCUUCCGGAUUUAUGUUGUUUGUGAACGUCGACAAUGUGUCGUUCCAAAUUUAUAGCCUCGUGGGGCAUAAUAGAACAAUAUAAUUAGGGUUUUACUCUUUGUUUUGAUAGAAAUGAGAAAAAGUACUGCGUUGCAAAGUUAUACUGUUAAAGGGAAACUGAGUAGUCUAAUGUAUCUGCCGGUUUUUGUUCUUUCUGGAACAGUUUUCAUCGAUUCGUUCCAAAUUUACAACUCUCGAGGCAUAAUAAAACGAUAUAAUUAGGUUUUACUUUUUGUUCGAUAGAAUGAGAAAAAGUACUCGUUGCAAAGUUAUACUGUUAGGGCGCAACUGAGUAGUCUAAUGUUGUUCUGGUUUUCGUUCUUGUGAACGUUGACAUCGAUUUGUUCAAAAUUUACACUCUCGGGGCAUAAUAGAACUAUAUAAUUAGGUUUUACUCUUUGUUCGAUAGAUUGAGAAAAAGUACUCGUUGCAAAGUUAUACUGUUAGGGCGCAACUGAGUAGUCUAAUGUUGUUCCGAUUUUGGUUCUUGUGAACGUCGAAGAUUCGUUCCAAAUUUACACUCGCGGGGCAUAAUAGAACUAUAUAAUUAGGUUUUACUUUUUGUUCGAUAGAAUGAGAAAAAGUACUCGUCGCAAGUUAUACUGUUAGGGCACAACAGAGUAGUCUAAUGUAGUUCUGGUUUUCGUUCUUGUGAACGUUUACAUCGAUUCGUUCCAAAUUUACACUUUCGGGGCAUAAUAGAACAAUAUAAUUAGGUUUUACUCUUUGUUCGAUAGAAUGAGAAAAAGUACUCAUUGCAAAGUUAUACUGUUAGGGCGCUACUGAGUAGUCUAAUUUUGUUCCUGUUUUUGUUCUUGUGAACGUUGACAUCGAUUCGUUCCAAAUUUACACUGUCGGGUAAUAAUAGAACAAUAUAAUUAGGUUUUACUCUUCGUUCGAUAGAAUAAGAAAAAGUACUCGUUGCAAAAUUAUACUGUUAGGGCGCAACAGAGUAGACUAAUGUUGUUCCGAUUUUGGUUCUUUUAAACAUUGACAUUGAUUCGUUCCAAAUUUACACUCUCGGGGUAUAAUAGAAUGAUAUAAUUAGGUUUUACUCUUUGUUCGAUAGAAUGAGAAAAAGUACUCGUUGCAAAGUUAUACUGUUAGGGUGCAACUGAGUAGUCUAAUUUUUUUCCUGUUUUUGUUCUUGUGAACGUUGACAUCGAUUCGUUUAAAAUUUACACUCUUGGGGCAUAAUAAAAUAAUAUAAUUAGGUUUUACUCUUUGUUCGUUUGAAUGAGAAAAAGUACUCGUUGCAAAGUUAUACUAUUAGGGCGCAACUGAGUAGUCUAAUGUUGUUCCGAUUUCGGUUCUUGUGAACGUAGACAUCGAUUCGUUCCAAAUUUACACACUCGGGGCAUAAUAGAACAAUAUAAUUAGGUUUUACUCAUUGUUCGAUAGAAUGAGAAAAGGUACUCGUUGCAAAUUUAUACUGUUAGAGCGCAACUUAGUAGUCUAAUGUUGUUUCGGUUUUGGUUCUUGUGAACGUUUACAUCGAUUCGUUCGAAAUUUACGCUCUCGGAGCAUAAUAGAGCAAUAUAAUUAGAUUUUACUCUUUGUUCGAUAGAAUGAGAAAAAGUACUCGUUGCAAAGUUAUACUGUUUGGGCACAACUGAGUAUUCUAAUGUUGUUCCGGUUUUAGUUCUUGUGAACAUUGACAUCGAUUCGUUCCAAAUUUACACUCUCAGGGCAUAAUAGAACAAUAUAAUUAGGUUUUACUCUUUGUUCGAUAGAAUGAGAAAAAGUACUCAUUGCAAAGUUAUACUGUUAGGGCGCAACUGACUAGUCUAAUGUUGUACCGGUUUUGGUUCUUGUGAACGUUGACAUCGAUUCGUUUCAAAUUUACACUCUCGAGGCAUAAUAGAGCAAUAUAAUUAGGUUUAAUUUUUGUUCGAUAGAAUGAGAAAAAGUACUCGUUGCAAAGUUAUACUGUUAGGGCGCAACUGAGUAGUCAAAUUUUGUUCCGAUUUUGGUUCUUGUGAACGUUGAAGAUUCGUUCCAAAUUUACACUCGCGGGGCUUAAUAGAACUAUAUAAUUAGGGUUUUACUCUUUUGUCGAUUGAAUGAGGAAAAAGUACUCUUCUUAAGGGUAUACUGAUAGGGGCACAACAGACUAGUCUAAUGUUGUACUGUGUUUGGUUCUUGUGAAACGUUAACAUCGAUUCGUUUCCAAAUUUACACUCUCCGGUACAUUAAUAGAACUAUAUAAUUAGCUUUAAUUUUUGUUCGAUAGAAUUGAGGAAAAGUACUCGUUGCAAAGUUAUACUGUUAGGGCGCAACUGAGUAGUCAAAUUUUGUUCCGAUUUUGGUUCUUGUGAACGUUGAAGAUUCGUUCCAAAUUUACACUCGCGGGGCUUAAUAGAACUAUAUAAUUAGGUUUUACUUUUUGUUCGAUUGAAUGAGAAAAAGUACUCGUCGCAAGUUAUACUGAUAGGGCACAACAGAGUAGUCUAAUGUUGUUCUGUUUUCGUUCUUGUGAACGUUAACAUCGAUUCGUUCCAAAUUUACACUCUCGGUGCAUAAUAGAACUAUAUAAUUAGCUUUUACUCUUUGUUCGAUAGAAUGAGAAAAGUACUCGUUUCAAAGUUAUACUGUUUGGGCGCAACUGAGUAGUCUAAUUUUGUUCCGGUUUUGGUUCUUGUGAACGUUGACAUUGAUUCGUUCCAAAUUUACACUCUCGGCGCAUAAUAGAACUAUAUAAUUAGGUUUUACUCUUUAUUCGAUAGAAUGAGAAAAAGUACUCGUUGCAAAGUUAUACUGUUAGGGCGCAACAGAGUAGUCUAAUGUUGUUCCGGCUUUCGUUCUUGUGAACAUUGACAUCGAUUCGUUCCAAAUUUACACCCUCGGGGCAUAAUAGAACUAUAUAAUUAGGUUUUACUCUUUGUUCGAUAGAAUGAGAAAAAGUACUCGUUGCAAUGUUAUAAUGUUUGGGCGCAACUGAGUAUUCUAAUGUUGUUCCGGUUUUGGUUCUUGUGAACAUUGACAUUGAUUCGUUCCAAAUUUACACUCUCGAGGCAUAAUAGAACGAUAUAAUUAGGUUUUACUCUUUAUUCGAUAGAAUGAGAAAAAAUACUCGUUGCAAAAUUAUACUGUUUGGGCGCAACUGAGUAGUCUAAUGUUCUUCCGGUUUUUUUUCUUGUGAACGUUGACGUCGAUUUGUUCGAAAUUUACACUCUCGGGGCAUAAUAGAACAAUAUAAUUAGGUUUUACUCCUUGUUCGAUUUAACGAGAAAAAGUACUCGUUGCAAAGUUAUACAGUUUCGGCGCAACUGAGUAUUGUAAUAUUGUUCCGGUUUUAGUUCUUGUGAACGUUGA
rnacentral:lncRNA from 1 species